rnacentral:tRNA from 1 species
GGAGACAGCUCAGUGGUAGAGUGCGUGCUUAGCAUACACAAGGUCCUGGGUUCAAUCCCCAGUGACUCCU